UUUAAAGUGCAUGUCAAGUGUGCCUCAGAGUCUUACCCCACCCACGUAUCAAUUUUGAAAACUGCAACAUUAGUAGGCGUUGCCUGGAGGACCGAGAGGGCGGAGCCGCGGCAGUGACGAAGAGACGGCUAACUAGACGAAGCUAGCUCCCUUCACUCUGAGCAGUCAUUAGAAGUGGAGGACGUUUCUCCCCCUCCUUACCCAGACACUCGAGAAGAAAGGGACCAAGUCUAUUUGGAGGAGACAAGCGGACAUGAGCCUUAUUGUUUUGAGCUUGUGAGUUGCCUGAAAUUACUGGAACCGACCCAACAGACCCAUCUCUGAACGUGAUCCUCUGGUGUCUGCAGCUGAUCUCCUGCUGAUGUCGUCGGGAUCAGGAGCUUCCAGAAGAAUGUGCCUUUCAAUGACUCUUUCCCCCUUAUUUGUUAUAUUAAUUAAAUAAAUCUCAAUUUAUAUAUUUCCUGUUUUUGUUCAUGUCCAUAAAUACUUAAACAUGCUUGAAAUUAAAACGAGCUUUUAA